UACGAAGGGUGCAAGCGUUACUCGGAAUCACUGGGCGUAAAGCGUGCGUAGGCGGUUCGUUAAGUCUGCUGUGAAAGCCCUGGGCUCAACCUGGGAACUGCAGUGGAUACUGGCGGACUAGAGUGUGAUAGAGGGAUGGUGGAAUUCCCGUGUAGCGGUGAAAUGCGUAGAGAUCGGGAGGAACACCAGUGGCGAAGGCGCCCCUGGGCCAAUACUGACGCUCAUG
rnacentral:rRNA from 1 species